AUACGGAGGAUGCGAGCGUUAUCCGGAUUUGUUGGGUUUAAAGGGUGCGUAGGCUGUGCGUUAAGUCAGGGGUGAAAUGCCGUCGCUCAACGACGGAGCUGCCCUUGAUACUGGCGUGCUGGAGUACGGAUGCCGUUGGAGGAAUGAGGGGUGUAGCGGUGAAAUGCUUAGAUAUCACUCAGAACACCGAUUGCGAAGGCAUCUGACGAAUCCGUCACUGACGCUGAGGCACGAAAGCGUGGGGAUAGAACAGGGUUAGAUACCCUGGUAUUCCACGCCGUAAACGAUGAUGACUAACCGUCGGCGAUAGACAGCCGGUGGCCAAGCGAAAGCGAUAAGUCAUCCACCUGGGGAGUACGUCGGCAACGAUGAAACUCAAAGGAAUUGGCGGGG
rnacentral:rRNA from 1 species